rnacentral:lncRNA from 1 species
GCAAAACAGUAUGCAGAGUUUUCAUGGUGUUGUUAACUGAUACCAAGCCAUAUUUGAAGAAAACGAUGAUGCUUCAGACAGCCUCGCUCGUGAUUUCAUCCUUAAGAUAAGCGAAGAAGGCUCUUUGUCGAGUUUUCUUGAUCAAUGGCUGCAUCCACAGAAAUGAAGCAUAAAUUAGACUGAAGCAUCAUUUUCAGAUAAAGAAGAUAGGCCCUGCAUUUCUCUAUCAUUAUUUUCUCUCGAGUUCAUGGUGGAGACGACAUAGCAGAUUCGCGUAUUUGAUGAUCUGGAACAGAGGAGUAGUUGAUAGUAUGAUACGAAUCAAGAUGAAAACUGCUGCACUAAUUAUAUGCCCAGAAAUCUUCACUUUUGUUUAUGGCUGUAAAGUUUGUAUAUGCUAUGCAGUGUGUAUAUUUAAGAGUCUCAACUGAGAGACAUCACAUAUUUGUUGCAAGCAAUUCAUCAAGAAACAAAAGAGCUGAGUUCUAAACGAAAUUCGACCUGUUCAUCUGUGCAGGUAGCUAUUCGUCAUCGUGCAACUGCUACUCCGGUCUCCACAGAAAGAAGAAGCCAUCGCCAUCCUCAUGUUUGCCGCCUCUUCACGUUGGCUAACUGCAAUCUUUAUGCAUAUAAACAGCUCUCUAA